rnacentral:misc_RNA from 1 species
GAUGAAGAACGUAGCGAAACGCGAUAAGUAAUGUGAAUUGCAGAAUCCAGUGAAUCAUCGAAUCUUUGAACGCACAUUGCGCCCGCCAGCAUUCUGGCGGGCAUGCCUGUUCGAGCGUCAUUUCAACCCUCGACCUCCCCUUGGGGAGGUCGGCGUUGGGGACCGGCAGCACACCGCCGGCCCUGAAAUGGAGUGGCGGCCCGUCCGCGGCGACCUCUGCGCAGUAAUACAGCUCGCACCGGGACCCCGACGCGGCCACGCCGUAAAACACCCAACUUCUGAACGUUGACCUCGAAUCAGGUAGGAAUACCCGCUGAACUUAAGCAUAUCAAUAAGCGGAGGA